rnacentral:rRNA from 1 species
UCGGGAUAACACCUGGAAACAGAUGCUAAUACCGGAUAACAACAGAUGAUGCCUAUCAACUGUUUAAAAGAUGGUUCUGCUAUCACUCUUGGAUGGACCUGCGGUGCAUUAGCUAGUUGGUAGGGUAACGGCCUACCAAGGCGAUGAUGCAUAGCCGAGUUGAGAGACUGAUCGGCCACAUUGGGACUGAGACACGGCCCAAACUCCUACGGGAGGCAGCAGU